GGGGAUGUAUUGAUUCGAUGUGAGAGCUCUUUACCAUUUGCAGAUCGUCUUUAGCAGGAAGACGCUAAAAAUAUGCUAAAAAUAUAACUGCAGAAAAUAAAGUUCUCAGUCAAGCAAAGAGUGCUAUCCUCGACGUUUCUAACGCCGUUGCUGACACAUUCAGAGCUCCAAGUUUCGCAACAUUAGCUGCUUAACAAGGUAUCUAAAUAGCCCGCUCUCACUGAUGGUAACUAUUAGGUAACAAAACAGUCGGUGUGACACCUUUAACUCGCAUUUUGGUUAAAGUACAAGACUAAAGAAAUGAAGGAUAAGAUGAGGCUUGUUUUGAUCUCCUCUCUUAUCUCCUUAAGAUCAAGACUAUUUCUGUAGAUAAUGGUAGACGUUCGGCUUACAGACACGGGUUCAUUACCCGUCAUCUCCACCA
rnacentral:tmRNA from 1 species